rnacentral:rRNA from 1 species
GACGAACGCUGGCGGCGUGCUUAACACAUGCAAGUCGAACGGAAAGGCCCUGCUUUUGUGGGGUGCUCGAGUGGCGAACGGGUGAGUAACACGUGAGUAACCUGCCCUUGACUUUGGGAUAACUUCAGGAAACGGGGGCUAAUACCGGAUAGGAUCUCCUGCUGCAUGGUGGGGGUUGGAAAGUUUCGGCGGUUGGGGAUGGACUCGCGGCUUAUCAGCUUGUUGGUGGGGUAGUGGCUUACCAAGGCUUUGACGGGUAGCCGGCCUGAGAGGGUGAACGGCCACAUUGGGACUGAGAUACGGCGCAGACUCCUACGGGAGGCAGCAGUGGGGAAUAUUGCACAAUGGGCGGAAGCCUGAUGCAGCAGCGCCGCGUGCGGGAUGACGGCCUUCGGGUUGUGAACCGCUUUCGCCUGUGACGAAGCGUGAGUGACGGUAAUGGGUAAAGAAGCACCGGCUAACUACGUG